ensembl:miRNA MIR4531 microRNA 4531
GCCUAGGAGUCCUUGGUCAGUGGGGACAUGGAGAAGGCUUCUGAGGA